UCGACGUGAUGCUGAAAUGAGAUUGGGAUGCGAGGCCAACGGCCGAGCAUGCCGGUUAUUUGAAAACUGAAUACUCUGCAAUCGGUAGUUUUUUGACCACAUAGACGCAGUCAAGUGGCGUGAACACUUGGUCAAGCUACUAAGGGCGUACAGUGAAUGCCUUGGCGCCAGCAGUCGAUGAAGGACGUGGCAAGCUGCGAUAAGCCUCGGUGAGCCGCAAGCAGGCUUUGACCCGGGGAUUUCCGAAUGGGGAAACCCGCUCUGGUUUAUGCCGGAGCAUCCUGAGCUGAAUCCAUAGGUUCAGGAAGGCAACGGAGGGAAGUGAACCAUCUCAGUACCUCCAGGAAUAGAAAACAAGUCAGUGAUUCCGCUAGUAGCGGCGAGCGAACGCGGAUCAGCCCAAACCAGAAGGCAUGCUUUCUGGGGUUGUAGGGCCCGUUAGACCGCAAGGUCGUUGAGUGAUCAACCGGAUUGGUAGUCGAACCCUCUGGAAAGUGGGACCACAGAAGGUGACAGUCCUGUAGACGAAACCAAGCCGGCUCAAUGGACGGGUUCCUGAGUACCGCGGGACACGAGAAAUCCCGUGGGAAUCUGCGAGGACCAUCUUGCAAGGCUAAAUACUCGUUGGUGACCGAUAGUGAACCAGUACCGUGAGGGAAAGGUGAAAAGCACCCCGGUGAGGGGAGUGAAAGAGUACCUGAAACUGUAUGCCUACAAGCAGUCGGAGGGCUAUAGCGGAGCAAUCCGCCAUGCCUGACGACGUGCCUUUUGCAUAAUGAGCCGGCUAGUUAUUCUCAGUGGCGAGGUUAAGCGACAGCGAGCCGUAGCGAAAGCGAGUCCGAAAUGGGCGAAUGAGUCGCUGGGAAUAGACGCGAAGCGAGAUGAUCUACCCUUGGCCAGGAUGAAGCGCGGGUAACACCGCGUGGAGGUCCGAACCGGUGUUAGUUGAAAAUAGCUCGGAUGAGCUGAGGGUAGGGGUGAAAGGCUAAUCAAAUUUCGUGAUUGCCCGUUCUCCUCGAAAUGCCUUUAGGGGCAGCCUCGGAGGGUCGGCGAUGGUGGUAGAGCACUGAAUGGACUAGGGGCCUUACCAGGUUACUGAAUCCAAUCAAACUUCGAAUGCCAUCGACACGUACUCCGGGAGUGAGACGGYGGGGGCUAAGCUUCAUCGUCAAAAGGGAAACAGCCCAGACAUCCGACUAAGGUCCCAAACUCUAUGCUAAGUGGGAAAGGAUCUGAAGACGCUCAGACAACCAGGAGGUUGGCUUAGAAGCAGCCAUCCUUUAAAGAAAGCGUAAUAGCUCACUGGUCAAGCGGCUUUGGGCCGACAAUGUAACGGGGCUCAAGCAUACUUCUCUUCGCCGCGAAGUCAGACCGUAAGGACUGGUGGAGCGGAGAGAAGUGACCCUGCCGGCAUAAGUAGCGAGAAGGGAAGCGAGAAUCUUCCCCGCCGUAAGUCUAAGGAUUCCUGAGGUAGGUUCGUCCGCUCAGGGUUAGUCGGGAGCUAACGCGAGGCCGAAAGGCGUAGCGGAUGCACAUCCGGUUAAUAUUCCGGAACUACCAGCCGAUCGUUAUCACGAUGGGGGGACGCAGGAGGCUAUCCGGGCCUGGCAUUGGAUGUCCAGGUUCAGGUCUGUAGGGGGAUCCGACAGGUAAAUCCGUUGGGUCACAUUCCCUGAGGGGCCAUGGCAAGCGCCGCAAGGCGCAUAAAGCCGGAGACGCCACGCUGCCGAGAAAAGCCUCUAAGGAGAUCGGCGGGUACCCGUACCGCAAACCGACACAGGUAGACGAGGAGAAAAUCCUCAGGCGCAAGUGAGAAUCAUCGUUUAGGAACUAGGCAAAAUUACCCCGUAACUUCGGGAUAAGGGGUGCUCCCAACCGUCAGCGGCUUCGCGCCGCGAAGCGGCCAGGAGUUGCAAUAAAGAGGGUCAAGCGACUGUUUACUAAAAACACAGGGCUCUGCUAAGUCGAAAACGACGUAUAGGGUCUGACGCCUGCCCGGUGCCGGAAGGUUAAAAGGAGAGGUUAGUCGCAAGGCGAAGCUUUGAAUUGAAGCCCCGGUAAACGGCGGCCGUAACUAUAACGGUCCUAAGGUAGCGAAUUCCUUGUC
rnacentral:rRNA from 1 species